AAUAGAGGUUCGUUUGAAGAGGUCCCAAUCCAAGUAUCUUCUAAAUAUCUUGAGAAAGCUUCCAUAUCUAAUGGUAGAGUCGGCUUGAGAAGCCUCCCAGCUCGAUUUACUUGGCCCAGAGGGACCAAGGGAAGGGCACCCAUCAUUUGGAAGGCGGUGCAGAUCUCGGAGAUGACAACCCGAUACUCCAGGACAAGGUCCUGCGCUGCAAACUUCCUACAUAGGCACUCCUUGUAGUGGAGGUAACAUCAACGCAGUCUUGUGUCGGGCCAGACUGAGAGGAUGGCAUUCUGAAGCCCCUUCUCAUAGACGGACAGGAUGAUAUCUGGGCAAAAAGGAAGGAGCCCAUAAACUGCAGGAAUAGAACGGCCUUGAGGACGCAGUCCGUGAACAAUAACAAGUUAUUUAAAAAGAGACGGCACGACUUUAAAGGUACCAUCGAUGAUCCAAUUCGACUUAUCCAGAAGCCCGUAUUGUAGGUUUGACGGUGUUCCAAAGAGCAAGGACCAACGCAAAGUGUUUGAGUUGUUGGAGUCCCAGAUGAGAAGAUAAUCUACUACAUGAGUUCUUAAAUAAGGUGGAGGUAUAAAUAAAUUUUCUAGGGAUGUCGGAUUAUCCAGAUGCUUUGCUUCCUUUUGUCGAACUCGACGAGCCAUUCUUCGCAGUAAGGAGGGAUCACAAUUUAGUUUUAAAUGUGUUUCCAAACCAAGCCCUGCAACUGCCUUGGCUUACAGGAUUUUAGUAGUCAUGUGAGUGGAGAUGGCUUUUUCUAUAAGUGUCUUUUUCCUUCUAUGCACUUCAAGUUCCGCCUGUUGUUCCCCGUGACUAUGAAUAGGAUCAUUGAUAGGGAUGUCUCCGAUCCAAGAAAAGCCGUGCUCUGAACCCUUGGUGGUAGAGGGUGCAUUACCAGAAGGACUUCCAGUUCCUUUGCUUUUCCUUCGAAUGCCCAUGACCUCUAAAUAUUAUAUUCGUGGAUCCUUUCUUCCCAGUCGUGAACUCUAUAGGCGUAGGGUUAUCAUUAAGAACAUGAGCUCUAGGGGCUUCUAGGAGAGGAAGGUCAUGAAAUUGUGGUGGAGGAAGAGGUACCAAAUCAAUUAUAUUGAGGGAAUCGUUGUGGAAGGACAUUAUGAGGUAUAUAUAUUAUAUACGAGUGUUUUUCGUGCUUAUAAUUAAUCAAUUGUUUCAACAGCUAAACUGGUUAUUGUUAAUGUAUCCAUAAAAUCAUUCCGUGUCAGGGGGGAUUCGUCUUGAACAUUUUUAUUAAUAUUGAGCAAUUUGCUUUUAAUGAUAAAUACCACUUCUUUUAAAAGAGAAGCUAAUUUUAAAAAUGCCAGAAUUUAUUGUAUUAUACAAAGGAAUCUUAAUCAAACUUUUGAAAUUCAGCACCAUAACCUUAAAAUUGGAACUUCUCAAUACCUUUACAAAUAUAUAAUUUCUAUUAAAAA
rnacentral:lncRNA from 1 species